CGCGACCCUCGGGAGGGGGGCUCUGCCCGCCCCUCCCCGGCCCCUCCCGCCUCCUACCGAAGGGCCGGGUCGGGACCCCGCAGGCUGCCUAGAAUGCCGGAUAAGGAAACUGAGGCGUAGAUAAAUAACUUAUCAAAUAUAAGGUGGCCAAACAGACCUCCACAACUCUAGAAGAAUCGCAGAAUAUGAGAGCUGAAAGUUCUGUAUACUUUAUAGAUAUAUCAUCUAGGAGCCCAAUCUAUCAUGGAUGCAAAAACCAAGCCAGAAAAGUUAUAUAAUUUGUCCGAGGUCAAGUAAUGAAUCUACAGCAUCCUCAUCCACUAAGUUCUCUCUGCUUUUCCUCUCUACUGACUGAUUGACCCCAGGGAGUCUGGGCACGUUGAAAUCAUCUCUGCCAGUAAGGCUCCCAUCUCCUAGGAAAUCUGUCACACUUAGAGUCCAGGGACACUUGUAUACUUAGAGGCUAUUUUAGAGGACUUUGAACAACUACCAAGGAAAAGUUCUGAUUAAAAAUAAUGAUGAUUCAGAAUGAGUAGCUUUUCCCAGGAGUUUUCAAGAGUAAAACGGCUAGGAAACCAGAGCUUAACUCUUUAGGAAAAAGAAGAUCCUUGCAUUUAAGAUCUCUUGUGAAGCCUGUGUUCUUGCUUCUCCACAAUACUUUAAAAGAACAUAUUCAAUAAUAAACUUUAAGUUCUAAAAAUAUAUUGUUUUAAAUGCCCUCAUGUUUAGGCUGAAAGGUGAUAGGA
rnacentral:lncRNA from 1 species